rnacentral:rRNA from 1 species
AACGAUAAAGCGGGUGAAAAGCCCGCUCGCCGGAAGACCAAGGGUUCCUGUCCAACGUUAAUCGGGGCAGGGUGAGUCGACCCCUAAGGCGAGGCCGAAAGGCGUAGUCGAUGGGAAACAGGUUAAUAUUCCUGUACUUGGUGUUACUGCGAAGGGGGGACGGAGAAGGCUAUGUUAGCCGGGCGACGGUUGUCCCGGUUUAAGCAUGUAGGCUGGUUAUCCAGGCAAAUCCGGAUAACCAAGGCUGAGGUGUGAUGACGAGGCACUACGGUGCUGAAGUAACAAAUGCCCUGCUUCCAGGAAAAGCCUCUAAGCAUCAGGUAACAUCAAAUCGUACCCCAAACCGACACAGGUGGUCAGGUAGAGAAUACCAAGGCGCUUGAGAGAACUCGGGUGAAGGAACUAGGCAAAAUGGUGCCGUAACUUCGGGAGAAGGCACGCUGGUGUGUAGGUGAAGUCCCU